UGAACGCUGGCGGCGUGCCUAAUACAUGCAAGUCGAGCGAAUGGAUUGAGAGCUUGCUCUUAUGAAGUUAGCGGCGGACGGGUGAGUAACACGUGGGUAACCUGCCCAUAAGACUGGGAUAACUCCGGGAAACCGGGGCUAAUACCGGAUAAUAUUUUGAACUGCAUGGUUCGAAAUUGAAAGGCGGCUUCGGCUGUCACUUAUGGAUGGACCCGCGUCGCAUUAGCUAGUUGGUGAGGUAACGGCUCACCAAGGCAACGAUGCGUAGCCGACCUGAGAGGGUGAUCGGCCACACUGGGACUGAGACACGGCCCAGACUCCUACGGGAGGCAGCAGUAGGGAAUCUUCCGCAAUGGACGAAAGUCUGACGGAGCAACGCCGCGUGAGUGAUGAAAGCUUUCGGGUCGUAAAACUCUGUUGUUAGGGAAGAACAAGUGCUAGUUGAAUAAGCUGGCACCUUGACGGUACCUAACCAGAAAGCCACGGCUAACUACGUGCCAGCAGCCGCGGUAAUACGUAGGUGGCAAGCGUUAUCCGGAAUUAUUGGGCGUAAAGCGCGCGCAGGUGGUUUCUUAAGUCUGAUGUGAAAGCCCACGGCUCAACCGUGGAGGGUCAUUGGAAACUGGGAGACUUGAGUGCAGAAGAGGAAAGUGGGAAUUCCAUGUGUAGCGGUGAAAUGCGUAGAGAUAUGGAGGAACACCAGUGGCGAAGGCGACUUUCUGGUCUGUAACUGACACUGAGGCGCGAAAGCGUGGGAGCCAACAGG
rnacentral:rRNA from 1 species